rnacentral:ncRNA from 1 species
UGAAAUGCUUUGAAAAAGAGGAGUAAAGGUUAAUAGUUCUAAGAGAGGAAAGUUCAUAGGCUGAAAGACUUUCUGUGCAAAUGACCUUGAAGGUAGCUUUGGAGCUUCUUUGCUGAAAUCUUAGUAGGCAAAGACGGGUUUAAUCAUCCGUUAAUAAUAUGAGAGCUUGAGUUUUACUCAAGAAAAAAGGUGGUAACGCGCGCUGUCGUCCUUUUA